GAUGAACGCUGGCGGCGUGCCUAAUACAUGCAAGUCGAGCGAACAGACGAGGAGCUUGCUCCUCUGACGUUAGCGGCGGACGGGUGAGUAACACGUGGAUAACCUACCUAUAAGACUGGGAUAACUUCGGGAAACCGGAGCUAAUACCGGAUAAUAUAUUGAACCGCAUGGUUCAAUAGUGAAAGACGGUUUUGCUGUCACUUAUAGAUGGAUCCGCGCCGCAUUAGCUAGUUGGUAAGGCAACGGCUUACCAAGGCAACGAUGCGUAGCCGACCUGAGAGGGUGAUCGGCCACACUGGAACUGAGACACGGUCCAGACUCCUACGGGAGGCAGCAGUAGGGAAUCUUCCGCAAAGGGCGAAAGCCUGACGGAGCAACGCCGCGUGAGUGAUGAAGGUCUUCGGAUCGUAAAACUCUGUUAUUAGGGAAGAACAAAUGUGUAAGUAACUAUGCACGUCUUGACGGUACCUAAUCAGAAAGCCACGGCUAACUACGUG
rnacentral:rRNA from 1 species